GAUGAAGAACGCAGCGAAAUGCGAUACGUAAUGUGAAUUGCAGAAUUCAGUGAAUCAUCGAAUCUUUGAACGCAUAUUGCGCUCUCUGGUAUUCCGGAGAGCAUGCUUGUUUGAGUAUCAGUAAACACCUCAACUCCCUUUUCUUUUUUGAAAUUGGAGCUGGACUUGAGUGAUCCCAACGCUUUCUUCCAAGAAAGUGGCGGGUUGCUUGAAAUGCAGGUGCAGCUGAACUUUUCUCUGAGCUAUAAGCAUAUCUAUUUAGUCUGCCUAAAAAACAGAUUAUUACCUUUGCUGCAGCUAACAUAAAGCAGACUAGUUCUUGUGCUGACUGAUGCAGGAUUCACAGAGACAGCUUCGGCUGACUUUGUAAACUCGAUCUCAAAUCAAGUAAGACUACCCGCUGAACUUAAGCAUAUCAAUAAGCGGAGGA
rnacentral:misc_RNA from 1 species